rnacentral:rRNA from 1 species
GCAAGUCGAACGGUAACAGGAUAGCUUGCUAUUGCUGACGAGUGGCGGACGGGUGAGUAAUGCUUAGGAAUUUGCCUUUUGGUGGGGGAUAACCAUUGGAAACGAUGGCUAAUACCGCAUGACACCUUCGGGUCAAAGUGGGCUUUUAGCUCGCGCCGAAAGAGAAGCCUAAGUGAGAUUAGCUAGUUGGUGAGGUAAAGGCUCACCAAGGCGACGAUCUCUAGCUGUUCUGAGAGGAAGAUC